rnacentral:sRNA from 1 species
UCUGAAGCCUGACGAGGAUGAGAACCUCCGGGGGCAAGAGGUUCGACCCGAGCGAAGCGAGAGAACGUUGCGUCAGCAACGGCCCGCAGGGCGAGCCACGCAGUGGCGAGUCAUCCUCUAUCACCGACCA